rnacentral:rRNA from 1 species
GAUGAACGCUGGCGGCGUGCCUAAUACAUGCAAGUCGAGCGAACGGACGAGAAGCUUGCUUCUCUGAUGUUAGCGGCGGACGGGUGAGUAACACGUGGAUAACCUACCUAUAAGACUGGGAUAACUUCGGGAAACCGGAGCUAAUACCGGAUAAUAUUUUGAACCGCAUGGUUCAAAAGUGAAAGACGGUCUUGCUGUCACUUAUAGAUGGAUCCGCGCUGCAUUAGCUAGUUGGUAAGGUAACGGCUUACCAAGGCAACGAUGCAUAGCCGACCUGAGAGGGGUCGCGGCCCCACGUGAACUGGAACCCGGUCCCGACCCCUAAGGGAGGCAGCAGUAGGGAAUCUUCCGCAAUGGGCGAAACCCUUACGGCGCCACCCCGCGUGAGUGAAGAAGGUCUUCGGAUCGUAAAACUCUUUUAUUAGGAAAGAACAAAUUUUUAAAUACCUGUCCCCAUCUUGCCGGUCCCUAAUCAGAAAGCCCCGGCUAACUCCUU